rnacentral:rRNA from 1 species
GGUACCGAUGAGCCAAGCUUGCUUGGAACAUCGGGAGAGUGGCAAACGGGUGAGUAACACGUAAGUAACCUGCCCCUAAGUAGGGGAUAACUCUGAGAAAUUGGAGCUAAUACCGUAUGUGGUGGUGGAGGUAAGGCUUCAUCACUAAAGCCUUCGGGCGCUUGGGGAGGGGCUUGUGUCCGAUUAGCUAGUUGGUAGGGUAACGGUUUACCAAGGCGAUGAUCGGUAGCUGGUCUGAGAGGACGAUCAGCCACACUGGGACUGAGAUACGGCCCAGACUCCUAUGGGAGGCAGCAGCAAGGAAUUUUGUGCAAUGGGCGAAAGCCUGACACAGCGACACCGCGUGGGGGAUGAAGGCCUUCGGGUUGUAAACCUCUUUUCUCAGGGAAGAAUAAUGACGGUACCUGAGGAAUAAGUCUCGGCUAACUACGUGCCAGCAGCCGCGGUAAUACGUAGGAGGCGAGCGUUAUCCGGAUUUACUGGGCGUAAAGAGGGCGUAGGCGGCUUUUCAAGUCGGGUGUGAAAUCUCCCUGCUUAAUGGGGAGGGGUCAUUCGAUACUGUUAAGCUAGAGGGCAGCAGAGGGAGGUGGAAUUCCCGGUGGAGUGGUGAAAUGCGUAGAUAUCGGGAGGAACACCAGUGGCGAAGGCGGCCUCCUGGGCUGUUUCUGACGUUGAGGCCCGAAAGCGUGGGGAGCGAACAGGAUUAGAUACCCUGGUAGUCCACGCUGUUAACGAUGGAUACUAAGUAUAGGGAGUAUCGACCCUCUCUGUGCCGAAGCUAACGCGUUAAGUAUCCCGCCUGGGGACUACGG